rnacentral:tRNA from 2 species
GGGGGUGUAGCUCAGUUGGGAGAGCGCCUGCCUUGCAAGCAGGAGGCCAGGAGUUCGAAUCUCCUCAUCUCCACCA